ACGGGAGGCAGCAGUAGGGAAUAUUGCACAAUGGGGGAAACCCUGAUGCAGCGACGCCGCGUGAGCGAAGAAGUAUUUCGGUAUGUAAAGCUCUAUCAGCAGGGAAGAUAAUGACGGUACCUGACUAAGAAGCCCCGGCUAACUACGUGCCAGCAGCCGCGGUAAUACGUAGGGGGCAAGCGUUAUCCGGAUUUACUGGGUGUAAAGGGUGUGUAGGCGGGAUUGCAAGUCAGAUGUGAAAACUAUGGGCUUAACUCAUAGCUUGCAUUUGAAACUGUAGUUCUUGAGGGUCGGAGAGGUAACUGGAAUUCCUGGUGUAGCGGUGAAAUGCGUAGAUAUCAGGAGGAACACCGGUGGCGAAGGCGGGUUACUGGACGAUUACUGACGCUGAGACACGAAAGCGUGGGGAGCAAACAGGAUUAGAUACCCUGGUA
rnacentral:rRNA from 1 species